rnacentral:rRNA from 1 species
CACAAGUGUAACGGGACCUCCGGCGGAUCACCCAUGCCUCGUGUGUGUAGAAGGCCCUCGGGUUGUAAAGCACUUUCAUCGAGGAAGAACGCCUGGCGGUUAAUACCCGCCAGGAAAGACAUCACUCGCAGAAGAAGCACCGGCUAACUCCGUGGCAGCAGCCGCGGUAAUACGGAGGGUGCAAGCGUUAAUCGGAAUUACUGGGCGUAAAGUGCGCGUAGGUGGCUUGAUAAGCCGGUUGUGAAAGCCCCGGGCUCAACCUGGGAACGGCAUCCGGAACUGUCAGGCUAGAGUGCAGGAGAGGAAGGUAGAAUUCCCGGUGUAGGGUGAAAUGCGUAGAGAUCGGGAGGAAUACCAGUGGCGAAGGCGGCCUUCUGGACUGACUCUGACACUGAGGUGCGAAAGCGUGGUUAGCAAACAGGAUUAGAUACCCUGGUAGUCCCCGCCGUAAACGAUGUCGACCAGCCGUUGGCCCCUAGCGCACUUUGUGGCGAAUUAACGCCAUAAACCCCCCCCUGGGGAAUCGACCGCAAGGUUAAAACUCACAAGAAUUGGCCGGAC